rnacentral:rRNA from 1 species
AUUGAACGCUGGCGGCAGGCUUAACACAUGCAAGUCGAGCGGGGACUUCGGUCCUAGCGGCGGACGGGUGAGUAAUACUUGGGAAUCUGCCUAGUAGUGGGGGACAACGUUUCGAAAGGAACGCUAAUACCGCAUACGCCCUACGGGGGAAAGGAGGGGAUCUUUGGACCUUUCGCUAUUAGAUGAGCCCAAGUCGGAUUAGCUAGUUGGUGGGGUAAAGGCCUACCAAGGCGACGAUCCGUAACUGGUCUGAGAGGAUGAUCAGUCACACUGGAACUGAGACACGGUCCAGACUCCUACGGGAGGCAGCAGUGGGGAAUAUUGGACAAUGGGGGAAACCCUGAUCCAGCCAUGCCGCGUGUGUGAAGAAGGCCUUCGGGUUGUAAAGCACUUUAAGUGGGGAGGAAGGUUUGUUGGCUAAUAUCCAACAGAAUUGACGUUACCUACAGGAUAAGCACCGGCUAACUCUGUGCCAGCCGCCGCAGUAA